rnacentral:rRNA from 1 species
GAUGAACGCUGGCGGCGUGCCUAAUACAUGCAAGUCGAGCGAACAGAUGAGAAGCUUGCUUCUCUGAUGUUAGCGGCGGACGGGUGAGUAACACGUGGGUAACCUACCUAUAAGACUGGGAUAACUCCGGGAAACCGGGGCUAAUACCGGAUAAUAUUUUGAACCGCAUGGUUCAAUAGUGAAAGAAGGUUGCGGCUGUCACUUAUAGAUGGACCAGCGCCGUAUUAGCUAGUUGGUAAGGUAACGGCUUACCAAGGCGACGAUACGUAGCCGACCUGAGAGGGUGAUCGGCCACACUGUAACUGAGACACGGUCCAGACUCCUACGGGAGGCAGCAGUAGGGAAUCUUCCGCAAGGGGCGAAAGCCUGACGGAGCAACGCCGCGUGAGUGAUGAAGGUCUUCGGAUCGUAAAACUCUGUUGUCAGGGAAGAACAAAUUUGUUAGUAACUGAACAAGUCUUGACGGUACCUAACCAGAAAGCCACGGCUAACUACGUGCCAGCCGCCGCGGUAA